UGGGGAUUAGCUCGGUUGGUAGAGUGCUUGCCUUGCAUGCACACAGCCCUGGGUUCAAUCCCCAGCACCAA
rnacentral:tRNA from 1 species